AACAAAUGUCCACACAGUUAGGAAGCCCAAGGGCCCUCUGCCCUUUCCUCUCUGCCUUCCUGGAGCAUGAACCCACACAGGGCACACAGCAGCAAGGCAUCCCCGGGCAGUGCCGUGCCCACUCACCAGCUUCUUCCUGCGGUCAUCGAUCUGGCAGAAGUUCUCCUCAUCUAUCCCCAAACAUGGGCUUCCUUGAGGCACAGUCAUUCAACCAACCAGCCAGCAUUCAUUGAGCACCAUCUAUGUCCUGGGCACUGCUAGGGGAUGGUGAUAACAGGGAGAAGACUCUGUCCCUGCCUUCCAAUUGUGUAGAGGAAGACAUCCCCCUACAUGAUGGGUGAGACAUAGCAGAAGUGAGUAGGGGAUGAGGUGGGGGCUCAGAGGAGGGCAUGGUCAGCCUGUCUGGGAGGGAGUUGCAUGUGUGCAUCUGAGGUAGGGACAGGCAUGCAUCUUGCAGGAUGAAUAUCGAGCAGAGUUACAGAGAGGGGGAAACUCCUUGAGGUUUCAGGAAUCACCUAAUCCACUGUGACUCACAAAUUCCUGCCUCUUGGCUUUGCCUGCAGCAUAUCUCCUGGAAGUGUGCUGGGGCAAAACUCAUCCCAGACCACCAUCUCCAUCCUCCCCAAUAUACCCUGGCCCUCCCUGGCUACCCUUGAGCACGGUGCACGUGUGCAUGGGUGCAUGCCUGCAUAUAUAGCUAUCCCCCAUGUAUUUCCCAAAGCCCUACAUAAUGCUUCAGUUUGCUAAGGAAAAAAUGUUAAUUACUGCAAAUGUGUUUAAAACUGUAAAAGUACAUUAAACAAACUCUGUAAAGUGUGAAA
rnacentral:antisense_RNA from 1 species